ACACUCUAUACGGAGUUACAAAGGACGACAUUAGACGAAUCAUCUGGAAAGAUGAAUCAAAGAAGGUAAUAAUCCUGUAGUCGAAAAUGUUGUCUCUCUUGAGUGGAUCCUGAGUACGACGGAGCACGUGAAAUUCCGUCGGAAUCUGGGAGGACCAUCUCCUAAGGCUAAAUACUCUCUAGUGACCGAUAGUGAACCAGUACCGUGAGGGAAAGGUGAAAAGCACCCCGGAAGGGGAGUGAAAUAGAACCUGAAACCGUGUGCUUACAAGUAGUCAGAGCCCGUUAAUGGGUGAUGGCGUGCCUUUUGUAGAAUGAACCGGCGAGUUACGAUUUGAUGCAAGGUUAAGCAGUAAAUGUGGAGCCGUAGCGAAAGCGAGUCUGAAUAGGGCGUUUAGUAUUUGGUCGUAGACCCGAAACCAGGUGAUCUACCCUUGGUCAGGUUGAAGUUCAGGUAACACUGAAUGGAGGACCGAACCGACUUACGUUGAAAAGUGAGCGGAUGAACUGAGGGUAGCGGAGAAAUUCCAAUCGAACCUGGAGAUAGCUGGUUCUCUCCGAAAUAGCUUUAGGGCUAGCCUCAAGUGAUGAUUAUUGGAGGUAGAGCACUGUUUGGACGAGGGGCCCCUCUCGGGUUACCGAAUUCAGACAAACUCCGAAUGCCAAUUAAUUUAACUUGGGAGUCAGAACAUGGGUGAUAAGGUCCGUGUUCGAAAGGGAAACAGCCCAGACCACCAGCUAAGGUCCCAAAAUAUAUGUUAAGUGGAAAAGGAUGUGGCGUUGCCCAGACAACUAGGAUGUUGGCUUAGAAGCAGCCAUCAUUUAAAGAGUGCGUAAUAGCUCACUAGUCGAGUGACACUGCGCCGAAAAUGUACCGGGGCUAAACAUAUUACCGAAGCUGUGGAUUGUCCUUUGGACAAUGGUAGGAGAGCGUUCUAAGGGCGUUGAAGCAUGAUCGUAAGGACAUGUGGAGCGCUUAGAAGUGAGAAU
rnacentral:rRNA from 1 species